rnacentral:miRNA from 8 species
ACGCCUGAAUUUUUGUCUCAGCCA